GGGUGGUGGAGAGUCACUGAGACAUGUUGCCCUGAUUCCAUUUGUGUUUUCCAAGCUGCAGUGAGGAGACUGUGGACGUGCGGGCCAGAUAACAGAGGGCAUUUGGAAGGCCAUUCUGUGGGUCCAGGCUGGAGUGAGCACAACUCGGAUGAAGCUCGGCCACGGAUACCUCCGUUUCCUGAUCCGUGAGAUGGGACUAAAGAAAACCAACUAUUUUGAUGGGACUGCAGUGAGAGCUAAAG
rnacentral:lncRNA from 1 species